GCCAGCGGCGAAAAUACGUUGAAUGCACCAGUUCACAAUGGAUCAGUGAAGCUAAGCUACGUUGCACGUGGUUGGUACCCGGAUGGAUGACCAUCUGGGGAAUCGUGUUAUGGUGGAU
rnacentral:rRNA from 1 species